UCAGAGCCUGGAGCCUGCUUUAGAUUCUGUAUCUUCCUCUCCCCCUAGCUCACACUCUGUCUCUCUCAAAAAUAAACAUUUAUAUAUAUAUUUAUAUAGAUGAAACGUAGUUGCUUUUAGAAGGUAAUCCCAAUGUUCUAACAAACCACGCUAUGAUUAAAAA